GCGUGUAGGCGGACAAUCAAGUCCGGUGUGAAAGAUCUCGGCUUAACCGAGGGGACGCGCUGGAAACUGGUAGUCUUGAGUACUGGAGGGGAAGCUGGAAUUCCUGGUGUAGGGGUGAAAUCUGUAGAUAUCAGGAAGAACACCGGUGGCGAAGGCGAGCUUCUGGCCAGUAACUGACGCUGAGGCGCGAAAGCGUGGGGAGCGAACA
rnacentral:rRNA from 1 species